GAUGAACGCUAGCUACAGGCUUAACACAUGCAAGUCGAGGGGCAGCAUGGUCUUAGCUUGCUAAGACUGAUGGCGACCGGCGCACGGGUGAGUAACGCGUACCCAACCUGGCCCGCAGUAGGGAACAGCCCGGCGAAAGUCGGAUUAAUGCCCUAUGUCUUCCUUUGCAGGCAUCCAAUGAGGAAGAAAGAUUUAUCGCUGCGGGAUGGGGAUGCGUCUGAUUAGCUUGUCGGCGGGGUAACGGCCCACCGAGGCGACGAUCAGUAGGGGUUCUGAGAGGAAGGUCCCCCACACUGGUACUGAGACACGGACCAG
rnacentral:rRNA from 1 species